GGGUGCUCCAGAUAAGAGACUCUGCCCAUCAAUAUUUCCCAUGUGUUCUAACAUGUAAAGAUGAAGAGACGUCAAGCAUCCACUGAAGCGUCUAAUUAUUAAAAACCUUUUGUAGUCAAAUUUUAAUAAAGUAGUCAUGCAUCACUA